UGUAAAACAUCUAGUAGAUGUGUUACCU
rnacentral:sRNA from 1 species